rnacentral:lncRNA from 10 species
UCCUAGCUCCCUUUGCUAGGUGCCUUUUUGCAGUGCAUGCACAGGACAGAUGUACUCUGUGGCCUGGCUUUGGGUCCUUCAUCUGGCUUUGGGACCCCUCCUAUGGCCACAGUGACCACAAUGCACAGAAAUAGCUUUUAUUUGCUCAUCUCACUACUUGUCCCCUCGCCACCACCUCCCGCCAUGAAAAUUCUUUGAAGGUAAGGAGGAGUCCCCUACCUGCCUUGGGCCCGAAGCUUGGCCUCCAAAGAGGUACCAGUAAUAACAAUUGUAGCCAGAAUCUUUCUGAGCUCUUGCUUGUCAGGGACCAUGCUAAUUGCUUUUUGAACAUAGGCUUAUUAAAUCCACAGGCUUGGACACCUGUGUGAGGUUACAAAGUAGCAAAACCAGGAUUUCAAUCCAUGCCUUGUCUGAGGCAUUUUCCAUGACUGCCAUUUAUCUGCUAAUAUCUGUCAUUGAUUAAACAUCCAGUGACUGGAAAUGGCCACAUGGAGAGGAGUGUGGGAGUUAGGAUCUCCAAUAAAGAUGGCCAAUUUGGAACUC